AACGAACGCUGGCGGCAGGCUUAACACAUGCAAGUCGAACGCCCCGCAAGGGGAGUGGCAGACGGGUGAGUAACGCGUGGGAACGUGCCCUUCGCUUCGGAAUAGCCCCGGGAAACUGGGAGUAAUACCGAAUACGCCGUAUUGGGAAAGAUUUAUCGGCGAAGGAUCGGCCCGCGUUAGAUUAGGUAGUUGGCGGUGUAAUGGACCACCAAGCCUACGAUCUAUAGCUGGUCUGAGAGGAUGAUCAGCCACACUGGGACUGAGACACGGCCCAGACUCCUACGGGAGGCAGCAGUGGGGAAUCUUGGACAAUGGGCGCAAGCCUGAUCCAGCCAUGCCGCGUGAGUGAAGAAGGCCUUAGGGUUGUAAAACUCUUUCGCCGGAGAAGAUAAUGACGGUAUCCGGAGAAGAAGCCCCGGCUAACUUCGUGCCAGCCGCCGCCGUAAAAC
rnacentral:rRNA from 1 species